AUACGAAGGGGGCUAGCGUUGCUCGGAAUCACUGGGCGUAAAGCGCACGUAGGCGGACUCUUAAGUCAGGGGUGAAAUCCUGGAGCUCAACUCCAGAACUGCCUUUGAUACUGGGAGUCUUGAGUUCGGGAGAGGUGAGUGGAACUGCGAGUGUAGAGGUGAAAUUCGUAGAUAUUCGCAAGAACACCAGUGGCGAAGGCGGCUCACUGGCCCUAUACUGACGCUGAGGUGCGAAAGCGUGGGGAGCAAACA
rnacentral:rRNA from 1 species